CACCUGGCACAAUUACCGCCAUCACCGUUUCUGUGUCUCUCUCUCUCUGAUGCUUCUACUCCUUUUGAGCAAACCCUAGGCUCCCUAAAACCAUCGCACCCUACUUCACUACCCAAUUCCUAUAAACCCUUCUCAGUUUCUUCCUCUUCAAUCAGAAUCACAUAGUUUUCAAUUCAAUUUCAAAAUCUUCGUCGCUUCGAAUAGCCAUGGAUGCUCAGCGAGCUCUGCUGGACGAACUCAUGGGCGCAGCUCGGAAUUUGACGGAGGAAGAGAGAAAAGGGUACAAGGAGAUCACUUGGGACUCUAAGGAGGUUUGCGGAGCCUAUAUGGUUCGGUUUUGUCCUCAUGAUCUGUUUGUCAAUACCCGAAGCGAUCUAGGGGCAUGCCCCAGAAUACAUGACUCUAAGCUGAAAGAAAGUUUCGAGAAGUCUCCAAGGCAUGCUGCGUAUGUGCCAAGGUUUGAAGCUGAUCUUGCUCAGUUUUGUGAGAAACUGGUGAUGGAUUUGGAUAGAAGAGUUAAGCGUGGGCGAGAACGCCUUUCUCAGGAGGUGGAACCUCCACCACAACCUCCUCUGUCAGCUGAAAAGUCUGAACAGUUAUCUGUUCUGGAGGAAAAAAUAAAGAACUUAUUGGAACAAGCGGAGGAGCUUGGUGCAUCUGGGAAGGUGGAUGAAGCUGAGGCACUGAUGAGAAAGGUGGAUGUGCUUAAUGUUGAGAAAACAGUCUUGGCUCUACAGCCCCCGAAUGCUCAACCAUUGAUGGUUCCACAGGAGAAAAAAAUGGCACUCUGUGAGAUCUGUGGUUCAUUUCUUGUGGCCAAUGAUGCUUUAGAGAGGACUCAAUCUCAUGUCACUGGGAAGCAGCAUAUUGGUUAUGGCAUGGUCCGGGAUUUUAUUGCUGAGUACAAGGCAGCUAAGGAGAAAGCAAGGGAAGAAGAAAAGUUAGCUAGGGAGAAAGAAGCAGAAGAACGGAGGAAACAGCUGGAGAAGGAAAAUGAGAGUAGAAGGAGAAGUGGUUCAAGUGACAGGGACAGGUAUCGUGAUAGAGAUCGUGACAGAUAUCGAGAACGUGAUUUGGAUCGUGAAAGGUCAAGAGAGUGGACUGGUAGGGGUGGUCGGGAUGGUGGAAGAGGGGUGGAUUGGAGGUCCAGGAAUGGAAGAGAUGCAGGCAGGGAUAGGUACCGUAAUCGAAGCAGGUCACGUUCCCCUGUUAGACAUACCCACAGGAGGUCACCUAGGAGUCCAGUUCGCCCGUAUUAAUGAGUUGUGUAGAUAGAUGUCUGAGCUUUGAAAUUUAUUGAGCUUUUGUUGAGACUAUAUCAACUCCAUUUCAUCAAUAUUAUUAGCGCAGAAAAGGGUUGAGAGUCUCAUAUCCCUUUUUGAUGGGUAAGUUGUUGUUGGCUACUUCUGUGUUAUCACAUACUUAAGACUUCAGACCCAAAUUGUAUGCAUGAUUGACACAGCAGCUGGGGAGAGGAAAAGCUAUUUAAUCAUUGUUGAGGUAACAUAUAUACAUAUAUCCUAUAUUCUCUCCAUCACGAACCCAUAGCUGAUUUCCUCCCUCUUCUUUCUGGUUUUGAGUUUUAACCACUUUAUUGCAAAUGCUGCUCAUUUGGCAUGGUUCAACUAGCGGAAAUGCAAGAUGCCAAUCAUGCAAUGUGAUGAUUUGCUACCUGUUUUUAAGGUAUUUAGGGAUUUUUUAUACAUGCUAGAAACAAUUGGUUUGGUUUUGUCUGGUUUAGUGGUCUUCUAGCUUUCCAGUUGUCAAAACUCACUACUUUGUCCUCUCCUCACCGCCUCUUAGGACAUGGAAAUCUAAUCAUGAAGCGGGUGCUGGUUCAAGCAUUCGUUUUCAGUAAUAGGCAGUUGGAUGAAUAGGCCAACAACGUAUUGAAUGGUAAAUCUGUGAAUUACAUUAUCAUGUGAAUUAGGUAGCUUUGGAGUUCAAGUUCUCGAUCACAAUUUGGUCUAUCUGGAGGGGCUUUCGACAGAAGUUUUGUUUCCAAGGCUGUUUGAUAGGGGAUGUGAAAUGGUAUCAGUGCAUGGAGGGUAAAAUGAGUCGCCUAAUGGAAUUGAAAUUUCUGGUAGUCCAGGAGCCAUUUUCUGAGUGAUAGCCUUUACGUUUUUAUGGUAAUCACCUUUAUCAAUAUACAUUUGAGUCUGUAAUCUCUUCAAUACACAUUUAUCGAGGUGCUCAUGGCACUCUUCUUAUAAGAACAAUGACAUUUAUUUUUUCAAAAGUGAAUGGUACAGUGCUCUCAUACGAAAGUUCACAAAA